GACGAACGCUGGCGGCGUGCCUAAUACAUGCAAGUAGAACGCUGAAGAGAGGAGCUUGCUCUUCUUGGAUGAGUUGCGAACGGGUGAGUAACGCGUAGGUAACCUGCCUUGUAGCGGGGGAUAACUAUUGGAAACGAUAGCUAAUACCGCAUAACAAUGGAUGACACAUGUCAUUUAUUUGAAAGGGGCAAUUGCUCCACUACAAGAUGGACCUGCGUUGUAUUAGCUAGUAGGUGAGGUAAUGGCUCACCUAGGCGACGAUACAUAGCCGACCUGAGAGGGUGAUCGGCCACACUGGGACUGAGACACGGCCCAGACUCCUACGGGAGGCAGCAGUAGGGAAUCUUCGGCAAUGGGGGCAACCCUGACCGAGCAACGCCGCGUGAGUGAAGAAGGUUUUCGGAUCGUAAAGCUCUGUUGUAAGUCAAGAACGGGUGUGAGAGUGGAAAGUUCACACUGUGACGGUAGCUAC
rnacentral:rRNA from 1 species